rnacentral:rRNA from 1 species
CUGCCGGAGACCACUGCUGUGGGGGUCCGACUAAGCCAUGCGAGUGGUGGGUACGCUUCGAAAGGGGCGUGGCCCCGCACACGGCUCAGUAACACGUCGUCAACCUACCCUGAGGACGGGGAUAACCUCGGGAAACUGAGGAUAAUCCCCGAUAGACAAGAGGUGCUGGAAUGCCCUCUUAUCUAAAACCGGCGGGUAAAACCGCACGGGCCCCAGGAUGGACGGCGGCCUAUCAGGUAGUUGGUGGGGUAACGGCCCACCAAGCCUACGACGGGUAGCCGCUCUGAGAGGAGGAGCGGCGAGAUGGGCACUGAGACAAGGGCCCAGGCCCUACGGGGCGCAGCAGGCGCGAAACCUCCGCAAUGGGCGAAAGCCCGACGGGGGGACCCCCAGUGCCGUUGGCCUUUUCGGUCGGCGGCUUUUCGGGAGUCUAAAAAGCUCCCGGAAUAAGGGCUGGGUAAGUCGGGUGCCAGCCGCCGCGGUAAUACCCGCAGCCCAAGUGGUGGUCACUAUUAUUGGGCCUAAAGCGCUCGUAGCUGGAUCGGUAAGUCCUCCGUGAAAUCGACCAGUAGACUGGUCGGCGCGCGGGAGAUACUGCCGGUCUAGGGGCCGGGAGACGCCAGGGGUACUCCGGGGGUAGGGGUGAAAUCCUGUAAUCCCCGGGGGACCACCGGUGGCGAAGGCGCCUGGCGAGAACGGACCCGACAGUGAGGGGCGAAGGCUGGGGGAGCAAAGGGGAUUAGAUACCCCCGUAGUCCCAGCAGUAAAGGAUGCGGGCCAGGUGUGGGAUGUCCUUAGGGGGCAUUCCGUGCCGGAGGGAAGCCGUUAAGCCCGCCGCCUGGGAAGUACGGCCGCAAGGUUGAAACUUAAAGGAAUUGGCGGGGGAGCACCACAACGGGUGGCUCCUGCGGUUCAUUGAUCU